rnacentral:misc_RNA from 1 species
UCGUAACAAGGUCUCCGUAGGUGAACCUGCGGAGGGAUCAUUACUGAGUGUGGGCUCCGGCCCUACCUCCAACCCCAUGUCGAAACGACUCUGUUGCCUCGGGGGCGACCCGGCCUUCGGGCGUCGGGGCCCCCGGUGGACACCUUCAUAACUCUUGCAUCUCUUGCGUCUGAGUGAUACAUAUAAUCAAUCAAAACUUUCAACAACGGAUCUCUUGGUUCUGGCAUCGAUGAAGAACGCAGCGAAAUGCGAUAAGUAAUGUGAAUUGCAGAAUUCAGUGAAUCAUCGAAUCUUUGAACGCACAUUGCGCCCCCUGGCAUUCCGGGGGGCAUGCCUGUUCGAGCGUCAUUACACCACUCAAGCCUGGCUUGGUAUUGAGCGCCGCGGCCUGCCCGCGCGCUCCAAUGUCUCCGGCUGAGCCGUCCGUCUCUAAGCGUUGUGAAUAGCGAUCGCUUGCGAGGCCCGGGCGGUUCGACGCGGUUAACCCCCCCAUUUUCUAUGGUUGACCUCGGAUCAGGUAGGGAUACCCGCUGAACUUAAGCAUAUCAAUAA